AAAUUGAAGAGUUUGAUCAUGGCUCAGAUUGAACGCUGGCGGCAGGCCUAACACAUGCAAGUCGAGCGGAAACGAGUUAUCUG
rnacentral:rRNA from 1 species